rnacentral:lncRNA from 1 species
AGAGAAGAAAACCCAAAACUAUUAAUAACACAAGUAUAUAGUUAAAAUAAGAACUUCGAUAUGAGAGAGUUUCAAAAGGAUUACAUCGUUCCCCAACAACAAAGGGUUUAACUCACCAUUGUCAUGGUGAAACUAUAUGAAUUGAAUGGAAAGAAUGAGAUGAUAAACCCUAGAUUUGGUAGACUGGAGCUGUUGCACCCAAAAU